AGAAUUAUGAUUAAAAUCAGUUGCUGGACAGAUCACCUCAGUGGUUGUCCAUCCUCCAGCUCAGACUUGGUGCUAUUGUGGAGGAGAGAGGGUCUCGGGUCACACAGACUCAGCUCAAAUCCUGGUGUUGCCACUUCCAGGCGUGAUGUUGCCAGAGGAUACCUAGGAUCCUGGCACUGAGACCCAGCCAGGCAUGUGGUACAGUCAGCAAGAUGUCAUCAGUGGAAACCACACAUGAUAAAAGAUGACCACACAUCCAGCCAUGGUUUUACAUGGAGUUUUUUUAAAAAGCUUUUUCAUUAAACCAACACAAAUCUUGAAAAAUGGCUUUUUCAGUCCAUCAAGGCUGCUAUAACAAAAUACCACAAGGUAGGUGGCUUAUCAGUAACAGAAACUUACAGUUCUGGAGGCUGGGAAGUGUAAGAUGAAGGCACUGACAGAUUCAGCAGAUCUCAUGUCUAGCAAGGGCCCAGCCAUUGUCUCGUUCGUAGAUAGCAUCUUCUCACUUCACACAGAGGGAGGGAUGCAGCAGCUCUCCAGUCCCUUAUAAGGGCCCUAACCCCAUUUAUGAGGGCAUCAUCCUCUUGACCUAAUCACUUUCCAAAGGUAAUACUUCUUAAUACCAUCCCUUUGUGGGUUUGUGGGAGAAGUUCAAGCUUGGCUUGGCCAGGUGUGCCGCACUCCUGUCUUCUGAGCUAACUCGGAGACCUUGUUAAGGCUGAGCUAAUUCACCUAAGUGCAUAGAUGCUGGGUCCAAUAGACUACAACUCUGCCCCUAGUCCGUGACUCCUCCUCUCCCAAGAAAAAUCACUCCGCUGUGUCUGGCCAAUAAGAUAUCGCCAAACAUUAAACGUUCCUCCCAUGCUCCUCUGCCAUGGUUCCCCAUAUAAGCCUGUGUAUUUCCUGAAAAAAGCGGAAGCGUUCCAGAAACCUCCCCAGAAUCUGCCUGGUUAUUCCACGCCUUUGCCUCCCAGUCCGAGCUCCGGAACCUUAUUCCGCUUGUGGACG
rnacentral:lncRNA from 1 species